AAUAAUAUUUCUUACGAAUAUUGAAUGGAAAUAAUUUUCCUUACGAAUAUUGAAUGAAAAUAAUAUUCCUUACAAAUAUCAAACGAAGAUAAUAUCCCUUACGAAUAUUGAACGAAAAUAAUAUUCCUUACGAAUACGAAAAUAAUAUUACGAAUAUGAAAUAAAUAAUACCCCUUACCUUAGUAGGAGAGUAAUUUCGACUGGUAUAGCGGGGAUAUUCUUGAAGAAAACUUGCACUAUUUGCUACACUCAAAGUAUUCGUAUGCUCAAAAGAAAUACGCACAAUAUUAUAGAAGAAGAAUUCUUUGAUUCUGGUGUGUUUUUCAUUUCUUAACUAAGCAUCCUAUUUAUAGGAGAAUGACAGGGUACUAUUUAAGAAAAUAAUCACAGACGCACAGUAACAAUUCACAGGUGCAAAAAAUUCGGCAAAAUCUAAUUUUUACUAUUCAUUACUGUGCAAUAAAAUAUUCUAAUAAAAUGAAAACUUUAUAUAAAAUAUAAUAUAAUAUGUUUAUAAUAUAAUAAAACGAAUAACUUUAUAUAUAAUAUAAAAAGUAUUUUGUUUUAUAUAAAAGUUUUCUGUUUUAUUACUAUUAUAAUAAUAAUACAACAAAACUGAGAUAACUUUUUACCAGCGAUUUUGAAAAAUGAGUAAGUGGUGGUCCAUGUAAUAAG
rnacentral:lncRNA from 1 species